rnacentral:lncRNA from 1 species
AUGCAAGUUAACUUUUACGCACGGUGGGUGCGGUGCGGCCGGUGCAGCGGGACCGGGAGACGCGGACGCGCCACGGAGCUACGGACGAAGCCCUUUGCCAAGUGGUUCCCUUUCUGUGGAAGGAUGUCAGCGCCCCGCGUCUGGCCGCGGCUGAGGAUGCUUGACGUCAUCUCGUCUACCCGAUCAUUACGCUACCUGCUCUCCUCCACAAUGCUGCCCUCUCGCUGCUCCGCCACUUGAAAACGCUUGGCUGGCCCGUUCUCUGGAGCCAUCAAGAAAUGGCGUGUUAAAACGCUGCCCGCCGUUCCUGCUGCCUGCUCCCCUCCAGCCACGCGUGCAGCAGCCGGCAGCGGAUUCCCCUGCGUGGACGACUGCUGCUCAGUCGCGGGGAAAACGCACCAGACGUCGCCUCUCGCGAAGUUUCAUUAGGCUGCUGACGUUUGCAUCUGGAGGUGCAAACGCGUGUCUAGCGUGCGGGUGAAGUGCACGGAAAAUCUCAGAAUCGGCUGAUUUCAAAUCUGAUGUUUUACAUGUUUUCAACCACUCUCAUCAAUUAAGAAACAUUUUAUUCUGUUUUUCUAUAAAAGGCCUUGAAGUAAAGUUUUUCAAAGCGCAAUAACAACAGGUGUAUUUGACAUAGAGUGUGCAUAUAAACAAAUAUUGUCAUUGAAGUGAUGCUUUGUACAUUAAUGGUCUCAUAAUGAUUUUCUACUCAUGUAUUUUACCUGUGAUUCAUGGUUGAAUCCAUCCAUUAGCUAAACCGCUGGUCCUCCAUUGCUUGGGGUCACGCCCUGGACAUACAGUACUGUACCUCCAGCCCAGUCACAAUGGGAAGUCUCCAGUCAACCUGAGUCCAUUGCCUGGAGAAAACCCACACGGACCUGGGAGAACAUGCAAACUCAAAGGCCCUCAAAACCGAGGCCCUUGUUGCCGUGAGGCGACAGUGCGCCACCAUACACCACUGUGUAAUGUGCUACUCUUUUUCCAUCUGUUUAAUUCCAUCUCAUAAAACAUACUGGACAUACUCUAACUGGCUUCUAUACUUUAGUCAUUCUCAAUAUUUG